GGGGGCCCGCAAGCGGUGGAGCAUGUGGUUCAAUUCGACGCAACGCGAAGAACCUUACCUGGGCUCGAACGGCUUUGGAACGGGGUGGAAACACCCUCUUCCCGCAAGGGACCGGAGUCGAGGUGCUGCAUGGCUGUCGUCAGCUCGUGUCGUGAGAUGUUGGGUUAAGUCCCGCAACGAGCGCAACCCUUGUCCUGUGUUGCCACUCCCGUAAGGGAAGCACUCUCAGGAGACCGCCAGCGAUAAGCUGGAGGAAGGUGGGGAUGAUGUCAAGUCAUCAUGGCCUUUAUGUCCAGGGCUACACACGUGCUACAAUGGACGGUACAAAGCGCUGCUAACCCGCAAGGGGGAGCCAAUCGCAAAAAACCGUUCUCAGUUCGGAUCGCAGGCUGCAACCCGCCUGCGUGAAGCUGGAAUCGCUAGUAAUGGCGUAUCAGAACGACGCCGUGAAUACGUUCCCGGGCCUUGUACACACC
rnacentral:rRNA from 1 species